rnacentral:rRNA from 1 species
GUAACACGUAAAGAACCUGCCCUCAGGUCUGGGAUAACCACGAGAAAUCGGGGCUAAUACCGGAUGGGUCAUCGGACCGCAUGGUCCGAGGAUGAAAGGCGCUUCGGCGUCGCCUGGGGAUGGCUUUGCGGUGCAUUAGCUAGUUGGUGGGGUAAUGGCCCACCAAGGCGACGAUGCAUAGCCGACCUGAGAGGGUGAUCGGCCACACUGGGACUGAGACACGGCCCAGACUCCUACGGAAGGCAGCAGUAGGGAAUCUUCCACAAUGGACGAAAGUCUGAUGGAGCAACGCCGCGUGAACGAUGAAGGCCUUCGGGUCGUAAAGUUCUGUUGUAAGGGAAGAACAAGUGCCGCAGGCAAUGGCGGCACCUUGACGGUACCUUGCGAGAAAGCCACGGCUAACUACGUGCCAGCAGCCGCGGUAAUACGUAGGUGGCAAGCGUUGUCCGGAAUUAUUGGGCGUAAAGCGCGCGCAGGCGGCCUCUUAAGUCUGAUGUGAAAGCCCCCGGCUCAACCGGGGAGGGCCAUUGGAAACUGGGAGGCUUGAGUAUAGGAGAGAAGAGUGGAAUUCCACGUGUAGCGGUGAAAUGCGUAGAGAUGUGGAGGAACACCAGUGGCGAAGGCGACUCUUUGGCCUAUAACUGACGCUGAGGCG